rnacentral:rRNA from 1 species
CCGCGGUAAUACGUAGGUGGCAAGCGUUAUCCGGAAUUAUUGGGCGUAAAGCGCGCGUAGGCGGUUUUUUAAGUCUGAUGUGAAAGCCCACGGCUCAACCGUGGAGGGUCAUUGGAAACUGGAAAACUUGAGUGCAGAAGAGGAAAGUGGAAUUCCAUGUGUAGCGGUGAAAUGCGCAGAGAUAUGGAGGAACACCAGUGGCGAAGGCGACUUUCUGGUCUGUAACUGACGCUGAUGUGCGAAAGCGUGG